rnacentral:rRNA from 1 species
UACGUAGGGGGCAAGCGUUGUCCGGAUUUAUUGGGCGUAAAGAGCGUGUAGGCGGCCAGGUAGGUCCGUUGUGAAAACUCGAGGCUCAACCUCGAGACGCCGAUGGAAACCCCCUGGCUAGAGUCCGGAAGAGGAGAGUGGAAUUCCUGGUGUAGCGGUGAAAUGCGCAGAUAUCAGGAGGAACACCAAUGGCGAAGGCAGAUCUCUGGGCCGUAACUGACGCUGAGGAGCGAAAGCAUGGGGAGCGAACAGG